ACCUAACCUAAUGCUCUAGGAACUCCAUCUCCACAUAAAUACACUUCAAAGCUACCAAGAGGGCCCUGAAGUUUCCAUAGUGGCAAGUAGGCCUCAACUGAGGUCAGCAGAUUGUGGAGGAGGUCCAGAAAAUGAAAAGGAAGUAGACUCUUGCUUUGAAAAAAAUAACAAUAAUUAUGCAUGUAUUGGAUAAUCAAGAAGGAUUAAAAGAAUAAAUGUGUCAAGUUUGAAGAAUGACUUGAAUGGCAAAAUAUAUCCCAGCAAUCCCCAAAGUCUUAACUCAUUCCAGCAUCAACUCUGAAGUCUAAAGUCCAAAGUCUCAAGUGACAAUUCAUCUCCAGGU